UGGGGAAUAUUGGACAAUGGGGGCAACCCUGAUCCAGCAAUGCCGCGUGUGUGAAGAAGGUUUUCGGAUUGUAAAGCACUUUCGACGGGGACGAUGAUGACGGUACCCGUAGAAGAAGCCCCGGCUAACUUCGUGCCAGCAGCCGCGGUAAUACGAAGGGGGCUAGCGUUGCUCGGAAUGACUGGGCGUAAAGGGCGUGUAGGCGGUUUGUACAGUCAGAUGUGAAAUCCCCGGGCUUAACCUGGGAGCUGCAUUUGAUACGUGCAGACUAGAGUGUGAGAGAGGGUUGUGGAAUUCCCAGUGUAGAGGUGAAAUUCGUAGAUA
rnacentral:rRNA from 1 species